rnacentral:rRNA from 1 species
GUUCUCCGGCUUUCCUGGGCGUCCCGCGCGUUGCGGCGGUUCCGUCCGUUGGGCGUUAAAGCCCCGGGCUCAACUCGGGGAGUUCGUUCAAUACUGCGGAACUUGAGGGCAGCAGAGGGAGGCGGAAUUCCCGGAGUAGCGAUGAAAUGCGUAGAUAUCGGGAGGAACACCAGUGGCGAAGGCGGCCUCCUGGGCUGCUCCUGACGCUGAAGGCGAAAGCUAGGGGAGCGAACGGGAUUAGAAACCCCGGUAGUCCUAGCCGUAAACGAUGGAUGCUGGGUAUGGGGGGUAUAGAUUCCCUCCGUGCCGAAGCUAACGCGUUAAGCAUCCCGCCUGGGGACUACGGCCGCAAGGCUAAAACUCAAACGAAUUGACGGGUCCCCGCACAAGCAGCGGAGCGUGUGGUUUAAUUCGAUGCUACACGAAGAACCUUACCUGGGUUUGACAUGCAAGUAGUAGUGAAGCGAAAGCGGAACGACCCUUCGGGGAGCUUGCACAGGGUGCUGCANNUGGCUGUUUCGUCAGCUCGNNUGCCGUGUAGGGUGUCGNGGUUAAGUCCCGUAACGAGCGCAACCCUUGCCCUUAGUUAUACGUGUCUAAGGGGACUGCCCGGGACAACUGGGAGGAAGGUGGGGAUGACGUCAAGUCAGCAUGGCCUUUAUAUCCAGGGCGACACACACGCUACAAUGGCCGGUACAAUGGGUUGCCAAGCCGUGAGGCGGAGCCAAUCCCGCAAAGCUGGUCUAAGUUCGGAUUGUGGGCUGCAACUCGCCCACAUGAAGCUGGAGUUGCUAGUAACCGCGCGUCAGCCAUAGUGCGGUGAAUACGUUCCCGGGGAUUGUACACACCGCCCGUCACGUCAUGGAAGCUGGCAAC